rnacentral:lncRNA from 1 species
GGCAUAGCUCUUUGACCCGAUCAUCCCAUAGAGUCUGAUAGUCGAAUAGUAUCCGAUGCAUUCGGUUAAGAUAACGAUGACAAGUCGAUCAUCCAUUGUCCGAUUCUUUGUCGGGCGUGUACGUCACGAUGUGUGAUAAAUGAUGGUAAGCCGAAUACCCUUCGACCAGUCGUGACCUGGUCGGUAUGUUGCGAAUGCGAC